UACGGAGGGUGCAAGCGUUAUCCGGAUUUACUGGGUUUAAAGGGUGCGUAGGUGGGUCUGUAAGUCAGUGGUGAAAUCUUCGAGCUUAACUCGGAAACUGCCAUUGAUACUAUAGAUCUUGAAUCAUCUGGAGGUGAGCGGAAUAUGUCAUGUAGCGGUGAAAUGCUUAGAUAUGACAUAGAACACCGAUUGCGAAGGCAGCUCACUACGGAUGUAUUGACACUGAGGCACGAAAGCGUGGGGAUCAAACAGG
rnacentral:rRNA from 1 species